rnacentral:rRNA from 1 species
UACGUAGGGGGCAAGCGUUGUCCGGAAUCAUUGGGCGUAAAGCGCGCGUAGGCGGCCCGGUAAGUCCGCUGUGAAAGUCAAAGGCUCAACCUUUGAAUGCCGGUGGAUACUGUCGGGCUAGAGUCCGGAAGAGGCGAGUGGAAUUCCUGGUGUAGCGGUGGAAUGCGCAGAUAUCAGGAGGAACACCAAUAGCGAAGGCAGCUCGCUGGGACGGUACUGACGCUGAAGCGCGAAAGCGUGGGGAGCGAACAGG